rnacentral:rRNA from 1 species
GAUGAACGCUGGCGGCGUGCCUAAUACAUGCAAGUCGAGCGAACGGACGAGAAGCUUGCUUCUCUGAUGUUAGCGGCGGACGGGUGAGUAACACGUGGAUAACCUACCUAUAAGACUGGGAUAACUUCGGGAAACCGGAGCUAAUACCGGAUAAUAUUUUGAACCGCAUGGUUCAAAAGUGAAAGACGGUCUUGCUGUCACUUAUAGAUGGAUCCGCGCUGCAUUAGCUAGUUGGUAAGGUAACGGCUUACCAAGGCAACGAUGCGUAGCCGACCUGAGAGGGUGAUCGGCCACACUGGAACUGAGACACGGUCCAGACUCCUACGGGAGGCAGCAGUAGGGAAUCUUCCGCAAUGGGCGAAAGCCUGACGGAGCAACGCCGCGUGAGUGAUGAAGGUCUUCGGAUCGUAAAACUCUGUUAUUAGGGAAGAACAUAUGUGUAAGUAACUGUGCACAUCUUGACGGUACCUAAUCAGAAAGCCACGGCUAACUACGUGCCAGCAGCCGCGGUAAUACGUAGGUGGCAAGCGUCAUCCGGAAUUAUUGGGCGUAAAGCGCGCGUAGGCGGUUUUUUAAGUCUGAUGUGAAAGCCCACGGCUCAACCGUGGAGGGUCAUUGGAAACUGGAAAACUUGAGUGCAGAAGAGGAAAGUGGAAUUCCAUGUGUAGCGGUGAAAUGCGCUGAGAUAUGGAGGAACACCAGUGGCGAAGGCGACUUUCUGGUCUGUAACUGACGCUGAUGUGCGAAAGCGUGGGGAUCAAACAGGAUUAGAUACCCUGGUAGUCCACGCCGUAAACGAUGAGUGCUAAGUGUUAGGGGGUUUCCGCCCCUUAGUGCUGCAGCUAACGCAUUAAGCACUCCGCCUGGGGAGUACGACCGCAAGGUUGAAACUCAAAGGAAUUGACGGGGACCCGCACAAGCGGUGGAGCAUGUGGUUUAAUUCGAAGCAACGCGAAGAACCUUACCAAAUCUUGACAUCCUUUGACAACUCUAGAGAUAGAGCUUUCCCCUUCGGGGGACAAAGUGACAGGUGGUGCAUGGUUGUCGUCAGCUCGUGUCGUGAGAUGUUGGGUUAAGUCCCGCAACGAGCGCAACCCUUAAGCUUAGUUGCCAUCAUUAAGUUGGGCACUCUAAGUUGACUGCCGGUGACAAACCGGAGGAAGGUGGGGAUGACGUCAAAUCAUCAUGCCCCUUAUGAUUUGGGCUACACACGUGCUACAAUGGACAAUACAAAGGGCAGCGAAACCGCGAGGUCAAGCAAAUCCCAUAAAGUUGUUCUCAGUUCGGAUUGUAGUCUGCAACUCGACUACAUGAAGCUGGAAUCGCUAGUAAUCGUAGAUCAGCAUGCUACGGUGAAUACGUUCCCGGGUCU